CGGGGUGGAGUAAUGUCUGGGAAACGUGCCUGAUGGAGGGGGAUAACUGCUGGAAACGGUAGCUAAUACCGCAUAACGUCGCAAGACCAAAGAGGGGGGCCGUUCGGGCCUCUUGCCAUCGGAUGUGCCCAGAUGGGAUUAGCUAGUAGGUGGGGUAACGGCUCACCUAGGCGACGAUCCCUAGCUGGUCUGAGAGGAUGGCCAGCCACACUGGAACUGAGACACGGUCCAG
rnacentral:rRNA from 1 species